AGCCAGUUGGAAGCUGUUGCUAGGGAGGACAGGCAGACUAAAUCGCAACCUCGCCUCCCUUUCUGUGUCCUGAGAAGAGGCUGGAUAGGGGGAAGAGACCUUCUAGGUAAGAAGACACAGAGGGUGGCACUGCUUUCCAGCUUGCUCCUCGUUCCUCUUAGCAUCACCCUUUAGGAACUUGUUUGGGAGGAAUAUGGAGGCAAAACUAGAAUUAGCUGGCUCUAACUCUACUUCCUGUUGUCUCUGCCUUCUGCCCUACUGGUCCAAAUGGACACCUAUCAGCGCUGGAUGAGAGCUGAAGUCCAGCAACACCUGGAGGGCACCACGUUGGCUAACCUUGUCCAGGGCAGUGCAGCAUAGAUAGCUGGUUGCAGAUGGAGCAGCCACGUUGUCCUCUCACUUGCUCACCUGCAUUCUCCUGGGUGAAGCAAUGAUGGAAAUUCACUGCUGCGAGCCUAACACCUCCUGUUUUGCCACUCGAAGGAGGAUAGGUAAGAGGAGAAAGCAGUUGUUCCUGCCUCAGCAUGAUGGCACCAAGAUUGGUUGCUAUCACCCCACUGCCUGUGAUUGCAACGCUUUACCUGUUUGUGCACAUUCUCUUUGGGUGGCACAACAGGGUCAUGAAGAGGGAGCAGGCAAAAGGAGCAGCCUCUGAAUGCUCACUUACCCUCUCUCACUCCGUGGCAUGAUGGAGACAAUUGAAUUCACUGGGCUCAGUCCCCGUGCCACCUAGUAAGGUAAAGGCUCCCUGGACGGUUAAGUCCAGUCAAAGGCAACUAUGGGGUGUGGCGCUCAUCUCGCUUCCGGCUGAGGGAGCCGGCAUUUGUCUACAGACAGCUUUCUGGGUCGCAACCAGCAGGACUAAACCACUUCUGGCACAAUGGGACGCCGUGAUGAGUGCCAGAGUACAUGGAAACGCCAUUUACUUCCCAGCACAACAGUGCCUAUUUGUCUACUUGCACUGGUGUGCUUUCGAUCUGAGCACCUCUUUUUACACCACCACCAACUGCAGAUUGGCUGCUUUUCUUUCAAACAAAAAGCAUCACUUUUACGUAUCCCCUUUUAAAAUAGUGUUGUUUGUCCCUCCACAAGACAAGCCAGGAGACACCACUCAGAACUAUUUCCACCCGAGUAGUUCCUUAGCCAGGCUCUGAAAGUGUGACUUCCAUUUUCCCCUCCAGGUGGCAGCAGCUCCCCUUCAGGUAGGAGCAUUAAAAAAAACAAAAACAGAAGGGCACGGCCAUUGCUGGAACACUGAUACAGUCCAUGUUUGUCAGCCAUCUAGGUUCAUAGAGCCCCCAGACAUCAGUGGAAGAUUAAGGCCUCUGCUCACAAACUGGAUAGGAAAGAAGCCUAGCUGGAUGUCAUCAGCAUCAUCCUUCCCCUCCUGGGGAAUCUUUGCCUACCCAUUUGAUACCAUUGGGGAGCAUCCAGUGCUAAUCCUACUCAGAGUAGACCCGCUGAAAUGAAUGAGCACGACCAACUUAGGGCCAUUCAUUCCAAUGGGUCUACUUUGAGUAAGACUGGCACUGGAUACGCUUUACGCAGAAGAAGUCGGGUUUAGAACCAGGUAAGUUUGAAACAUCCCACUCAGUAAGACUUGCACAGCUGCCUCCUUCAACAACCAGGGGGGUUAUGUACACCCUUUCGAGGUGAUAAGGUACGGGACCAGUGCUUUGACCUGUGAAGCAAAUAGUACCUUGGGGUGGGGCAAUUCCAAUCAGGAGAAUGGCAGAGGGGAAAAGGUUAAACUACUCAUCCAUUAGCAUCACGACACCAGUUCAAAUUUGAAGGGUGGGGAACCAGCAUUUAGCUCUUUAAAAAUUGCCAAUCAGAUUAUGGAUCUCCUACUGUUCUGCCUAGUUGUGCCUUUAUUUGUGCCAGUGGUGCAGCCUUAAAAUCACCCCUCCCAUCACAGCCAAACAGCUGGCCUUGGCUUAGACCUAGCUGAAUCUCUGGAAGUAGCAGGGCCAGCCCAGGGUGUUUUGUCACUUGAGGCAAAACAGGAAAAGCCCUCCUCUGCCCACAGCCCCACAGUUGCUGAGUGGAGGCAGCUUACAGAAGCCCUGGCAGGCUGAAGGUGGCAGGAGAAGAAAAAAUAGGAGGCCGGAGAGGAGCAGGUAGAGGAAGAGGUGGGAACCAAGCACAGGAGGAGGUGGGUGGCAUGCUCCCCAGGGCCUGGAUCUGCUGCCCCUCCCAGCUGUCCCCAGCCUGCCGCCCAAGACGAUUGCCUCAUCAAACCUCCUGGGUGGGCCAGUCCUGGGAAGUAGCCAGCGACUAAUUCCCCGCUGGAUGCAACAUUCAACAGGAGGUUCUUGGCGAAGCCAUCACUGAUCCCACAGCACAUCAUCAUCUGUUGGGACUUGCUGGGAAGAGGUGAAGAGGCUUUUCCAGAGUUGGCCCCUCCUCGCUCUGUUAAGUGGCCCCCAUGACGUGGAACACAGAUGAUGGUGACAGAAUGAGUGGGUGGGUAAUUGAUACAUUACUUUGGAACUCCAGAAUGGAAUCCUCCGUUGAGCAAUGAAUAAGGACAAAACGAUAAUGCCAAAAUUCCACAGCUGCUCGCUUCCAUCUGUAAAUAUGGAUUUCCCAUUCUUCUGACUUUGUGCAUUUCACUUCCUUCAAAAAAGAAAGAAAGAAAGGGGUGUCCUUAUCCUGGAGUUUCCUUUGAUGUUACUGAACAUGAUGGGAAAUGGUAAGGGACUGGGCUGAUUUACCCACCCAUAUCAAGGCUGAGUCAGAAGUACCACAAGAGACUCCACUGAUCUUUGGCAGCUGGAAAGGACAGAUAACUACAAGCAAGUCCUCACUGGAAAAGAGAGAAAGGGAAAGGAAAGGAAAAUCUGGGUGGUAUACAACCAGCUUUUACUCAGAGUAGACUCAAUGAAACAUGUCCACGACUAACUUAAGUCCAUUAAUUUAAGUGGGUCUGCUUUCAGUGAAAAUUAGUUGAAUAUAGCCGUCUGCAUAGAUAAGCAUUUGCGUGGGAUUCGCAGGGAAGAAGACAAAAGGGCAAGACACACCACAGCAGAAGACCUUUUAUAAGAUCAAAGCCAAAGCACAAUAACCACAAGUUUCAACUGUCACUGCGGCAUUUAUUGACUUGAAAGCAAAGGUCAUCAUCGCCCAGUGACAUCACAGCGUAUGUGGGUAACUCCGAAAAGAUUUCAGAUUACCACAAAAGGCAUGUUAAGAAAUAAAUAAAGACAUUUCACAAAAUGGUUUGCUCAAAAUAGGUGGGUACCACAACAAGGUGUUGCAACAGACCAUACUUGCUUCCCCCCCCCCACUCCCCAGCCACAACACCUAACAAUGCUGUCAUAUCCUUUACAUAUCUAAGCCAACCCCAGGAGCACCAGAUCUUACCCAAGUCUGUAAAGCCUCUGAAACCACUAACAAGGUCUGACCGGAAUCCUUCUUGGGGUGGCUCAUUAAGUGCAACUGGGGGAAAAUGUUGCAGGGCAGAGUGAGCCUGAUCCAAAUUUCUGCCAGCCAGUCAGCUAGUCAUGCUCUUUCCCAGGAAACUACAUUCCAUCCCCCUCCCCCUCCCCCAAAAGCAAGGUGGUAUUCUCUGUCUAUAGAGCAUGCUCAGUCUUCAUUGGUCUGUUUUGGGUCCCCCUCCUUUUUAGGGGUUUUGUCCCCAGUUGUUUCGUUUGUUUAUUGGGGGGAUAGUUCUGCAAAUCUUGGCUUUUCUGUGAACCUGCUGAUACCUCCCCUUCUGUGCAGAUGGAGCCAUUUUGACCACACAAGGAUCCAUAAAUGAUAAUAAAACAUAUUGGCUGCC
rnacentral:lncRNA from 1 species